rnacentral:rRNA from 1 species
UACAGAGGGGGCGAGCGUUGUUCGGAAUUACUGGGCGUAAAGGGCGCGUAGGCGGCCAACUAAGUCAGACGUGAAAUCCCUCGGCUCAACCGGGGAACUGCGUCUGAUACUGGAUGGCUUGAAUUCGGGAAAGGGAUGUGGAAUUCCAGGUGUAGCGGUGAAAUGCGUAGAUAUCUGGAGGAACACCGGUGGCGAAGGCGGCAUCCUGGACCGGUAUUGACGCUGAGGCGCGAAAGCCAGGGGAGCAAACGGG